rnacentral:misc_RNA from 1 species
CGGGUAUCAUUUUCUGAGGAAGUCCAUGCUAGCACAGGCUGUGAUGCCUGUAGUGUUUGUGCUAGGCGAAACCAUAAGCCUAGGGACGAGAGAUCGUUACGGCAGUCGAAAUGGCUAAGUCUUUGGAUAGGUCAGAGUAAGCUUGAAAGUGCCACAGUGACGGAGUCUUUCUGGAAACGGAGAGAGUGGAACGCGGUAAACCCCUCAAGCUAGCAACCCA